rfam:Oryza sativa Japonica Group DNA, chromosome 6, cultivar: Nipponbare, complete sequence.
AAUAAGUGCAGUUUUACACUAUUCACGUUUAACAUUUGACCGUUCAUCUUAUUUGAAAAUUUUUUAUGAUUAAUAUUUUUAUUGCUAUUAAAUGAUAAAACAUGAAUAGUACUUUAUACGUGACUAAAUAUUUUCAAAUUUUUCAUAAAUGUUUUAAAUAAGACGGAUGGUCAAAUGUUGGACACAGAUAUCUACGGCUACACUUGGU